rnacentral:rRNA from 1 species
GACGAACGCUGGCGGCGUGCUUAACACAUGCAAGUCGAACGGAAAGGCCCUGCUUUUGUGGGGUGCUCGAGUGGCGAACGGGUGAGUAACACGUGAGUAACCUGCCCUUGACUUUGGGAUAACUUCAGGAAACUGGGGCUAAUACCGGAUAGGAGCUCCUGCUGCAUGGUGGGGGUUGGAAAGUUUCGGCGGUUGGGGAUGGACUCGCGGCUUAUCAGCUUGUUGGUGGGGUAGUGGCUUACCAAGGCUUUGACGGGUAGCCGGCCUGAGAGGGUGACCGGCCACAUUGGGACUGAGAUACGGCCCAGACUCCUACGGGAGGCAGCAGUGGGGAAUAUUGCGCAAUGGGCGGAAGCCUGAUGCAGCAACGCCGCGUGCGGGAUGACGGCCUUCGGGUUGUAAACCGCUUUCGCCUGUGACGAAGCGUGAGUGGCGGUAAUGGGUGAAGAAGCACCGGCUAACUACGUG